UACGUAGGGGGCGAGCGUUGUCCGGAAUGACUGGGCGUAAAGGGUACGUAGGCGGCUGAGUAAGUCAGGUGUGAAAGUCUAGGGCUCAACCCUAGUGAGCACUUGAAACUGCUUGGCUUGAGUCGAGGAGAGGAAGGUGGAAUUCCUGGUGUAGCGGUGAAAUGCGUAGAUAUCAGGAGGAAUACCAGUGGCGAAGGCGACCUUCUGGCCUUGGACUGACGCUGAGGUACGAAAGCGUGGGGAGCAAACA
rnacentral:rRNA from 1 species